GUGGGGAAUAUUGCGCAAUGGCCGAAAGGCUGACGCAGCGACGCCGCGUGGGGGAUGAAGCAUUUCGGUGUGUAAACCCCUGUUGCCCGGGACGAACAAGCGAUUUCGAUCGCUCUGACGGUACCGGGUGAGGAAGCACCGGCUAACUCCGUGCCAGCAGCCGCGGUAAUACGGAGGGUGCGAGCGUUGUCCGGAAUCACUGGGCGUAAAGGGCGCGUAGGCGGUGACUUAAGCGUGUGGUGAAAGCCCGGGGCUCAACCCCGGGUCUGCCGUGCGAGCUGGGUCACUCGAGCACUGUAGAGGCAGGUGGAAUUCCGGGUGUAGCGGUGGAAUGCGUAGAGAUCCGGAAGAACACCGGUGGCGAAGGCGGCCUGCUGGGCAGUAGCUGACGCUGAGGCGCGACAGCGUGGGGAGCAAACAGGAUUAGAUACCCUGGUAGUCC
rnacentral:rRNA from 1 species